UACGUAGGGUGCGAGCGUUAAUCGGAAUUACUGGGCGUAAAGCGUGCGCAGGCGGUUUUGCAAGCCGGAUGUGAAAUCCCCGGGCUCAACCUGGGGAAUGGCAUUUGGGACUGCAAGGCUCGAGUGCGGCAGGAGGAGACUGGAAUUCCUGGUGUAGCAGUGAAAUGCGUAGAUAUCAGGAGGAAUACCGAUGGCGAAGGCAGGUCUCUGGGCUGACACUGACGCUCAUGCACGAAAGCGUGGGGAGCA
rnacentral:rRNA from 1 species